CGCUAGUUCCCAUCUCCAUCCGAAUUCUCUUUCCCUUCCUCUUAACAGCGAGACAGCGUGCUGAUCCGCGGAGGAACAGAGCAGCGGUUGCAGCAAUUGCGACGACGGCGCUUCCGCCGAGGCUGUGUUACCUAGAGCAAGCUGCUGAGUCUAAAGUAAUUUGUUGACACUCAAGAGAGACGCAGGUAAAAGACAUUCCUUAAAACUUUUGGAAUCCUUUGCUAUUAUUAUUGACACUAUGAACAACCACAACCUGUUUUCUAGAUUGGCAUAUUCUGCCACCUCAAAGAUGAAGGGGGCUAAGUGCAUCCUGUUUUGAUAAAAUAUGAGAUGCUAGACAAUAAUGACAAUUUUUUUCUUGCCAUCUGACUUGGGGUCUCAGCAGACAUCUCUUGUCCACUUCUUUCUGUUUGCUCUAGUUAUCUAUUUUAUGAAUAUAUCAAAAUACUUGUAGUUGAUGGAUGAUGACAUUUGUCAUCUAUUAACACAUAUAGCAAUGAAAAUGGUUACUUAUCCAGGCAAGAAUCUUUAUAUUUCAAAGCUUGAUGACCAUAUGAGGGCAUAACUAUUUAUGCAACUGUAACCAUCAUCCUACAAUUGUGUACACGAUGUUAUAUUUAUUCUUUUUGAUAGAUACACUGAUAUUUGUUCUAACUUCAUUAUCUUACAAACUGAAAUUUGGCAUCUAGAUUUGUCAUGAUAAAUCCUCCUGACAUGUUUUAUGAUUUAUUCUACUCUUAAAAAUACUUCUUGACGUUGUUUAGAUAAGAACUGAGAUAAUUUAUUCUUCAAUUUAUGCCCUUCAGGCACUUAUUUUCAUAAAUUGAUGAUUGGAUUGAUGCAAAUUUAAAAUUUGGUUUGAUAUGUGCACACAUUUCCUAAGGGAAAUGGAAGCGUGAAAGUGGGAAGUUGGUGUCUUGGGAUUUAAGUUUGGAUGUUAAUUAAAAUUGUAGUUUAAACUUAUUAGCUACUAAGAUAAGUAAUAUUAACAACUUUGCCAGUACAGUAGAACAUUCAUUCAAUGACAUCCCUUCUCUUGGAAUUCCUUUUAUAUGUUUAACUAUAUUUUAAACUUAUUUUGUGUUUUCCUCUGACAUUUUCUAUACUCCAAUAUAUGCUUUUCUGGAAAAUCUAGUUCAACCUCCCCCCAUCCUCCGGCAGAUGAAAAUAAAAAAAAAAAAAAGAAAAGAAAAAGAAAAAGUAGUUGGUGAGAUUGCUAGUGUCCUUAAACUUCAUAGUCUGGUUUCAUGUAGUAUCAGCUGAAAGCAAAUUGUUUCUAAUUACCUGGAUAAUUUGUUAUAGAUGCAUAAUCUGUUUUAUGAUCUCUGAUAACUGGGCAUGGGUCUGUCUGGCCCACUUUUAACCUGCCUCAUCUGUUAUCAUGCACGGGUUCUGCCACUUGUAAUUUUCCUGGUUGGUGUCUGGAUUCCUUCUUUUGUGCCGUUGAUUUUUUUUUUUUCUCUUAAAAAAACAACAGAAACAUAUCAAAGGUUUAAUCUCCCUGGGACUGGGAGGUUGACUACAUGUAUAAUAACUCACCAUCAUCUGUCUAUGAUAUAUCUUCCAAAAGGCCGUCAUACCACAUAUUGCAUUUCAUGCAUCUUAUCUUUAAUAAAAGCCACCUUGACCUUUCCUUAAAGUAGCAUAGUGGCCCAUUUUUUUUUUUUUGUAAGUAAUGGGGAGCAGGUGGGCUCUAUCAUUAGGAAAGUGAGGAAGGGGCCUAAAUCACAGAGGCCCAAGCCACAAACAGAAGACUUAGGUACAUUUUGGUCACUGAUUCAAGCUAUGUCAAAGAAGAGUUAUAAUCCAUUCAGGAGAUGAUCUCAAAAGUGAUAUUCAAGACAAAAGGAAAAAAGCAUUUAUCUUCCUAUUCAGUAUAUAUCAAUCAUUAAGAUUCAAUGAUUGAAUCUCAAUUUACUGAACUAAAUUGCAGUCUUAUUGAUGGAUUAGAUUGAUGGCUCUAUAUUGGUCAACAUUAUCAGGUAUGUAAUUAUUAUAAUCCAUGUUAUGACUAUGAAAAUGUGCUUUCCAAAACUCAUCCUUUUACGAACUUAAUAUCUAUUCACUCUCCCUAAACAGCGACACAACAGGUAGGCAAAUGGUUAUUCAUUUCUGUGAUAAAAGUGACACAACAGGUAGGCAAGUGGUUAUUCAUUUCUGUGAUAAAAGUGAAGGGAAAAUAGAAGGGAAAAUGCUAUUGGUACAUAGAGGGCUACAACUUGGGCUACACAUAUGUGCAAAUGACUAAAAUACCCCUCACCCAAUUGCAAAUUUACUCCCCCUCCCCUUGGUCGCCUCCUCUCUCUCCCCUUCCCAUGGCCACCUCCAGCGACCGCUUGUCGCCGCCUUCCUCUCGCCACCUUUGCCUCGCCUCUUGCCACUGCAUCCUCCCCACUGCGGAGAGGGAGGAUGCAACGGCGGUUGGCGUGCGAGAGGUGAGGCGGGGAGUCAAAGGCGGUGAUAGGCAGUCACUAGAGGCGGCUAUGGGAAGGGGAGAGAGAGGAGAGAGGAGGUGGCCAAGGGGGAGGGGGAGUAAAUUUGCAAUUGGGUGAGGGGUAUUUUGGUCAUUUGCGCUCGUGUGUAGCCCUCUAUGUACAAGUAGCAUGGUCCAAAUGGAAGUACCAUUUAUGUCUCAUUGUUCUAGAAGUCAUAUAAUUCCUCAUCGAACACCAAAAGUCUUGACUCACAUUUAAGCUGUUCGUUGGAAACAAUGGACUUAAAGGUGGGCCAUGAACUUUUUCUUAACUAUUGUAGCAUGGAAAAACCUCCCUUUGAAGGUAUUUUGUUGAUUUAAUUCAUUAGACUUCAAAUUUUUCAUGUUCCUGUUGUUUGUAGAAGCUAGUGGUUCUGGGGCUGACUUGUUUAGUUCUCAUGGUACCAUGGUUAAUAGCAAAAACCCACCAGCGAUGUGAUCGUUCCAUCCAUAGUGUAGUGACCCCCACAACAUAUUCUAAAUAAUUGUACUCUUGAAGAUAACUCCUUGAAUCCCAUGAUAUUGUCCAAUGGAAUAAAGCAGUUUGUGGUUAAUUCCAUGUUUCAUGGGUUUAUCAAUUUGAGCUAUUGAUUUUCUAAAUUGUUUGCUGUCCUGAUUCAGUUAGGUAUUAGCGUCUUAAAGAAAAGCACUAUAUAGUCAUUUUAUAAUAACAAACUCUUUCUGUUUUUUGGUAUGCUUUGACCUUGAAUUGAACAACUUGAUGACAACUAGACAAGGACCAGAUACGAUAAGAUCUAGUAUAUUAUGUAUAUGCAUACACAAUAUCAAAAAUAAGAUAAGUUUGCAACGAUGACAACAACACAUCAAGCCUUUAUCCGACUAUUUGCGGUUAGCUACAUGCAUUCUAGCCUGCCAGAAGAAUAAGAUAAGCUCAUGAAAAGAAUUAAAAUCUUAAUGAAAGAUCCAAUGAGUUUAGAGGUGAUAGAGAUUUGAUCUGCUGCUAACAUUGGAGGGCAUUAGACUUGUACAUUUUAGCAAUUAUGCUUCAGUAUCCCAAACGCUGUCCAAACAAGUGGUUUCCAGGCUGUACGCUUAUUGUGCAGAUGGGCAGUAGUCUAUUCAACUGAAAAAAGCACUUGACAAAUUGUUUGUCUUUGUAUGAGGUCUAUCAAAUUUCUUGAUCACGUGCUUGAAUUAGCGUUUCUAAAGCUGAGUUCAUCAGAAAUUUCAUUGAAUUUUAUUGAUGUUAUUUAUUGUCUGAAAACACCUACUUUUCAGGAGCACCCUUGUGUGGCUUAUGCAAUCAACAAUUUUUACAUGGUAAGUCUAUAUUCUUAACCACCUAGAAUUUCUUAUGACACGGCAUCUAUCUCUCUUGGCUCUGGUUUCCAAUAUGUCCUUCAGAGCAUGUUUGAGAUCCCAGUUUUCCUCUUGUUCACUCCAAUGUCUUAAUUUUUCUACCAAGUUUGCGCAUAUAGUUGCAUUGCAGGAAAUAAGUCGAGUCAUGUGCCAAGCCUACAAGAGGACAUCAGGUACUGUUGGGUUUCUUAACACUAGUAGUCUAGUAGUAGCUCUCCUUAGCAAAGUGUCCAAAAUGGUGACGGAAUCGUGUGUGGAUGCAUGUAUCUGUAUCUUAUUUGACUAGAAGGGAAUUCUCUUCCCCUUUGCUAGCUGUUUGGCAAAUGAAAACAUGGGUGGGUCCCUACAGCACAAAAAUCUGUCACUCCGUUGGCUUGUGGGCCUAGUCUUUCUGGUGUUUAAUUUUAUCUUAAAAAAAAAGAAAGAAAAAAACAAGGUUGGUCCCCUUUUUAA